GGGCAUACAGCUCAGUGGUAGAGCACAAGCUUACCAUGCACAAGGUCCUGGGUUCAAUCCCCAGUACCUCCA
rnacentral:tRNA from 1 species